rnacentral:tRNA from 1 species
GUGUAUUUAGUUUAAAAAAAAUUUUGAUUUGUGAUAUCAAAGAUCUUCUUAAGGAUACGCU